rnacentral:rRNA from 1 species
GGUAUGUAAAGCUCUAUCAGCAGGGAAGAUAAUGACGGUACCUGACUAAGAAGCACCGGCUAAAUACGUGCCAGCAGCCGCGGUAAUACGUAUGGUGCAAGCGUUAUCCGGAUUUACUGGGUGUAAAGGGAGCGCAGGCGGUGCGGCAAGUCUGAUGUGAAAGCUCGGGGCUCAACCCCGGUACUGCAUUGGAAACUGUCGUACUAGAGUGUCGGAGGGGUAAGCGGAAUUCCUAGUGUAGCGGUGAAAUGCGUAGAUAUUAGGAGGAACACCAGUGGCGAAGGCGGCUUACUGGACGAUAACUGACGCUGAGGCUCGAAAGCGUGGGGAGCAAACAGGAUUAGAUACCCUGGUAGUCCACGCCGUAAA